rnacentral:rRNA from 1 species
AGAGUUUGAUCAUGGCUCAGAGCGAACGCUGGCGGCAGGCUUAACACAUGCAAGUCGAGCGGGCGUAGCAAUACGUCAGCGGCAGACGGGUGAGUAACGCGUGGGAACAUACCUUUUGGUUCGGAACAACACAGGGAAACUUGUGCUAAUACCGGAUAAGCCCUUACGGGGAAAGAUUUAUCGCCGAAAGAUUGGCCCGCGUCUGAUUAGCUAGUUGGUGAAGUAACGGCUCACCAAGGCGACGAUCAGUAGCUGGUCUGAGAGGAUGAUCAGCCACAUUGGGACUGAGACACGGCCCAAACUCCUACGGGAGGCAGCAGUGGGGAAUAUUGGACAAUGGGCGCAAGCCUGAUCCAGCCAUGCCGCGUGAGUGAUGAAGGCCCUAGGGUUGUAAAGCUCUUUUGUGCGGGAAGAUAAUGACGGUACCGCAAGAAUAAGCCCCGGCUAACUUCGUGCCAGCGGCCGCGGUAAUACGAAGGGGGCUAGCGUUGCUCGGAAUCACUGGGCGUAAAGGGUGCGUAGGCGGGUCUUUAAGUCAGGGGUGAAAUCCUGGAGCUCAACUCCAGAACUGCCUUUGAUACUGAAGAUCUUGAGUUCGGGAGAGGUGAGUGGAACUGCGAGUGUAGAGGUGAAAUUCGUAGAUAUUCGCAAGAACACCAGUGGCGAAGGCGGCUCACUGGCCCGAUACUGACGCUGAGGCACGAAAGCGUGGGGAGCAAACAGGAUUAGAUACCCUAGUAGUCC